rnacentral:hammerhead_ribozyme from 1 species
AUCCAGUUGAUAAGUCCCAACUAGGACGAAACACCUGUCGUGGAU